CAGCCGCCGCGGUAACCCCAGCGCCACAAGUGGGAACCACGCUUAUUGGGUCUAAAGCAUCCGUAGCCGGUUCUGCAAAUGCCCUGUGAAAUCGUUGCGCUUAACGUAACGGCGUGCAGGGUAGACUACCGAACUAGAGACCAGAGGAAGGAGACGGUAUUCCUGAGGGAGCGGUAAAAUGUGAUAAUCUCAGGAGGACCACCGAUGGCGAAGGCAGUCUACUAAUAUGGAUCCGACGGUGAGGGAUGAAAGCUAGGGGAGCGAUCCGGAUUAGAUACCCGAAUAGUCCUAUCCGUAAACGCUGCAUGCCUUAUGUUAUUUGAUCUUCGAGAUUGUGUAGUGUCGAAACAAAGGUGUUAAACAUGCCCCCCCUCAAAGUACCCCCCUAAAGGGGGUCUAUUUCAAUUAAAUGGGGGGGGGGUA
rnacentral:rRNA from 1 species